AACUGUCAGUGAGUGACCGUUAGUGGUCCUGCUCAGUCAAUGGUUGGCAUCACAUUGGACUCUGCCCCAGGAGCUGCCCUGUCCUGCCUGCUGCCCGCCUGGUACCAUAGAGUGUUGUUGCUGUGUGGCUGGAGCGGGAGUGGUCAUGUCCUAGGACUUGCAGGCAUACUUAAGAUGGACUCAUGGCCAAGUGAGGGUUUUUGGCUUCUCGACAGGGGAACAGAAUUCAAGAGCCUGCCAAGGAAAAGUGAAGGAUUAGCUGUACUGGGGAUGCACAGCUGUUCUUUCCACAAGUCACUUCAGAG
rnacentral:lncRNA from 1 species